rnacentral:tRNA from 1 species
GAGUAGCUUAGUGGAAAGAGCACGGGCUUGAGACUCAGAGGUUGUGGGUUCUAAUCCUGCCUC